GAUGAACGCUGGCGGCGUGCCUAAUACAUGCAAGUCGAGCGAACAGACGAGGAGCUUGCUCCUCUGACGUUAGCGGCGGACGGGUGAGUAACACGUGGAUAACCUACCUAUAAGACUGGGAUAACUUCGGGAAACCGGAGCUAAUACCGGAUAAUAUAUUGAACCGCAUGGUUCAAUAGUGAAAGACGGUUUUGCUGUCACUUAUAGUUGGAUCCGCGCCGCAUUAGCUAGUUGGUAAGGUAACGGCUUACCAAGGCAACGAUGCGUAGCCGACCUGAGAGGGUGAUCGGCCACACUGGAACUGAGACACGGUCCAGACUCCUACGGGAGGCAGCAGUAGGGAAUCUUCCGCAAAGGGCGAAAGCCUGACGGAGCAACGCCGCGUGAGUGAUGAAGGUCUUCGGAUCGUAAAACUCUGUUAUUAGGGAAGAACAAAUGUGUAAGUAACUAUGCACGUCUUGACGGUACCUAAUCAGAAAGCCACGGCUAACUACGUG
rnacentral:rRNA from 1 species